UACGAACUGUGCAACCGUUAUUCGGAUUCACUGGGCUUAAAGGGUGCGUAGGCGGCUUGCCAAGUAGGGUGUGAAAGCCCCCGGCUUAACCGGGGAAUUGCGCCCUAAACUGGCGAGCUGGAGUGAGAUAGGGGUGUGUGGAACUUCCGGUGGAGCGGUGAAAUGUGUUGAUAUCGGAAGGAACGCCGGUGGCGAAAGCGACACACUGGGUCUCAACUGACGCUGAGGCACGAAAGCCAGGGGAGCGAACGGG
rnacentral:rRNA from 1 species